UAUAUUAAGUAAAAAAUAAAAUUAUUAUAUUAUUAAGUAAGUCAAUCUGUCAAGUAAUAUAACAGUGUAUUACAAUACAAAGUUCAUACUUUGUAUUGUAAUACACUACUGUAAUGAUUCGGGUGUAUAGAUACAAUGUAUUCGUCGUCACAGUAUCUAUUGAACGCACCGAGUAAUGUUAAGAGUGAUGUGUAAUGUUUUCGAGUAAUAUCACCUGUCUGUAAAAGUGAUGUCAUAUCACAUUACAUUGGGAAGUGAUGUUUUGCGCAAGUCUAGUCCACAUGUAAGCAGCAAGUUAUACAUAAUAUUUCGAAGACUCACCGAAAUAGCGCUAAUGUAGGAAGUGGAAGUCGUAGGUAUGAAUAUUGCUGUUUUAACAGAGUGAAGUGUACUGAAUUACACUGAAGAGUGUGUUUUAAUAUAUGUAGUUUUAUUAUUCGUAGCUGCGAAAACUGUUCGUCGCACAACACAUUCCAGCUCGCGCAGACGAACGGUGCGGAGCUCUCUGUUGUUAUCGUUAUGUACACUUGAAAUGUAAUAAAUGCCGAAGUGUAGUAGUUUAUGGUGCUGUUUUUAAAAUCAUUCCACUUGCUACUAUGGCGCCACUUUAAUUCUUUUUGGCGGACGCUUUUUAAUAUACUGAGAUUCUACUCCUAAGUUCUACCUUACAUAUUAAAUAGGGUGAUAUAAUAUAGCGGCGUAGUUAGACGAGAUAAAAAAAGUCGAGAUAAAAGCUUUCAGUAAAAUGAUUAUCCAGAUUAUUGGUCACGUGCCAAAGAGUGCUGAAUGAAAGUGGUAUCAAAGGGAUAGUUCCCAUUUGGCGGGGAGAGCCGUAUGGCGUCCGCAUUUAAUUCGUACGACCAGUUUUAAUACAAAUAUAUUAAGUGUAUAAUCUAUGUUUAAUACAUUUACUUCAUGGUGCUAAGGCGUUUUGUGAGUCCCUAUUGGCAGGUACCAUCACCCUUGCCAUUUUCUGCAGCGAAGCAAUAAUGCGUUUCGGUUUGAAGGGCGAGGGAGCCGCAGUAGGUACUGUAAAAACUGAGACUUAGCAUUCAUGUUUCGGUAUCCACCUAACACCAGAUGGGUCGUGAGCAGUAGCUUAAGUUAAAUAUAGUUCAAGGGUAGACAGAAGAAUAAUUUGUUCAUUACGUUGAACGUACUUUUUAUCCCGAAACUAUUUAGUUGGAAUUUUUUUUUUUUUCGUUUUAUCGAAUCUAUUUCAAAUAUCCUUUGUGGGACACCUAGUAUCUAAUAUGCUAGUGAGUACCGAUCCACACUGUAAACUGUGAAUAAACGUGUUUUUGGAUUAAAAUUCAUUAUUUUAA